rnacentral:rRNA from 1 species
GAUGAACGCUAGCUACAGGCUUAACACAUGCAAGUCGAGGGGAAACGGCAUUAAGUGCUUGCACUUUUUGGACGUCGACCGGCGCACGGGUGAGUAACGCGUAUCCAACCUUCCCAUGACUAAGGGAUAACCUGCCGAAAGGCAGACUAAUACCUUAUGGUCUUCACUGACGGCAUCAGAUGUGAAGUAAAGAUUUAUCGGUUAUGGAUGGGGAUGCGUCUGAUUAGCUUGUUGGCGGGGUAACGGCCCACCAAGGCAACGAUCAGUAGGGGUUCUGAGAGGAAGGUCCCCCACAUUGGAACUGAGACACGGUCCAAACUCCUACGGGAGGCAGCAGUGAGGAAUAUUGGUCAAUGGGCGAGAGCCUGAACCAGCCAAGUAGCGUGCAGGAUGACGGCCCUAUGGGUUGUAAACUGCUUUUGUAUGGGGAUAAAGUCAAUCACGUGUGAUUGUUUGCAG